rnacentral:lncRNA from 1 species
AACCGGUACUCUACAGUGCACUGUGUUGCCAGAUGAUUUUGCCUAACUCUAUGCUACUUUAAGUUGCUGAGGACAUGUAAGACUGUUCAGAUAUAGAGAGAAAGGAUACUAUCUGCCACAGGAUGAAAGAAAAGCUGGUGGAAGACGCACCCAGAGGGCAGAUUCUGAGUCGGGCUUGGUGAGCUAUGUAAAGGCAAAGGGCAGUUGAGAAACAU